rnacentral:lncRNA from 1 species
AGGACAUCAUCAUCCCCCAAAAAGAUUUCAAAAAUAAUGUGAAUUAGUGUAUAAAUUAAUUGAAAUAAAACAGAAGUCAAAUGAAAAGUCAACCAAGCAAACUAGUUCAAAAAUAAAUCCAAAAUAAAUUGAAAAUGGAAAAUAAAAUCCCAAUAAAAGGUCAAGUUGACCAUGAGAUAUUGGUCAACCCUCAUACCAAAAAUCAGAAGUUAAAAAUAAUUCUAAGUUAUGAAAAUAAAAUAAAUGAAAAUAUGUGUGUUAAAAUG